rnacentral:rRNA from 1 species
UACCGCGGUUAAACGAGAGGCCCCAGUUGAUAAUAUCGCGGCGUAAAGGGUGGUCAAGGGCUGCAACCUAAUAAAGCGAAAUAGCCCUCCGGCCGUCAUACGCUUCCAGGCGCUAGAAACCCAAUUACACGAAGGUAGCUUUAGCAAUAUUCACCUGACUCCACGAAAGCUGAGAAA